rnacentral:rRNA from 1 species
GAUGAACGCUAGCGGCAGGCUUAAUACAUGCAAGUCGUGGGGCAGCAUGAUGUAGCAAUACAUUGAUGGCGACCGGCAAACGGGUGCGGAACACGUACACAACCUUCCUUUUAGUGGGGAAUAGCCCAGAGAAAUUUGGAUUAAUACCCCAUAACAUAUAGAGAUGGCAUCAUCUUAAUAUUAAAGCUUCGGCGCUAGAAGAUGGGUGUGCGGCUGAUUAGGUAGUUGGCGGGGUAACGGCCCACCAAGCCUACGAUCAGUAGCUGAUGUGAGCGCAUGAUCAGCCACACGGGCACUGAGACGCGGGCCCGACUCCUACGGGAGGCAGCAGUAAGGAAUAUUGGACAAUGGACGAAAGUCUGAUCCCGCCAUGCCGCGUGAAGGAUUAAGGUCCUCUGGAUUGUAAACUUCUUUUAUUUGGGACGAAAAAAGAUCAUUCUUGAUCACUUGACGGUACCAGAUGAAUAAGCACCGGCUAACUCCGUGCCAGCCGCCGCCGUAAUAC